UUUAUUAUAAAUUACAUUAAUUACAUCGAUCGUUUUAACAUUAAUUUAUUAUAAAUUACAAAAUUAUUACAUCGAUCAUUUUACAAUGAACAAUUAUAUCGUGUUAUGAUGAUUCAAGCUUUUAUAAUUCCAUCGUUUUAUGAAGAUAUAUGGCUAACGGUUAGAACAGCUUCAUUGGAUGAGAACUUUUUGGUGUAGAAUCAUUUUGUUGGGAACUUAACUUCGAAUCACACAUAAGCAUGUUGAUUCUUCACGGACCAAACACAAAAUUAAAGUAACUUUGACACCAAGAAUUAACGAGUUCCCCUCCGCAAGGGUACAUCUCGUGUGGGAACCUUCUCCCACAAACAUCCACUAUCUUAUCAAAGGUUUAUACAACGCUCUCAACCGGCGCUUUCUUUGUGUUUCAGGUACAAGCUUAAAGAGAACACAACAACAUAUUAAGAAGAUCAAAGAAACUCGGUCUCUCAAAGACAUGGCUCCAAAGUGUCUAUUUCUCUGGUUUCUUAUGUCUUGAUCUUCCUCUCGAUGUUCUCUGCCGUGAACCUCUAUUAGGGUUGCUUUCUCUGAACGUCUUGUGCCUUCUUUUAUACGCAAAAGAUAUUGCCGACUUGGAUUGAUAAAUGGGCUUGGUUUGGGCUUCGAGAUUAAAUAACUGAGGCCAUAACUAACAAUCUCCACCUUGAGUCCAGUUCAUUUAUCCAUCGUCUCUCUUCCGAUCACGACAAUCUACCUUGUCGUAACACAGACCAAGCCAAGCUUCUUUGAUGACAAAGACACUGCACUUCCCGAUCCUCCAUGUUCUCAGGCGGCUUCUCCGACGAGACUAUUCGCAGCCUCCACCAGCGAUCUUCUGUUUUGGAUGACCAACUUGUUGUGGCCUCACUCUCUGUGGUAAUUAAAUAUACAAAAUCACCAAUGAAACCUCCAAAAGCUGUUCCACAAAGAUUGUGUUCGCUAUCGUCUCAACUGCCGACGAGGUAUCUCAUGGUGCAGAUUAAUGCACCUUCUCUGCAACCUCAUCUCUGGAGACCGUUGAUGCUCUGAAACUUCACCAUUUAAGAUAGUGAAAUCUGGAUGUAAUUUUAACUAGCCAUCACAUCCUCCAAUGUCAAUCUCCGACACUGUUGGCUUCUGUAGUCUGAGAUUUCUGGCUCUACAUUUAUAAUAACUCAUUCGACUCCUUUGAUUACUUGUGGUACUCCACCUGAAACCAUUGAUACCAAUUCCUUGUCACGACUUUACCUCCAAGAAGAGCACAUCUUCUCUUACAUGUCUGGACAACGCUUGCAGUAAAUAGCUUCUCCGAUGAACAUCCCAUGAUCUUCAACUGUCUCGUUGACCUCAGCUGCUCCACCUGGAAUCAAGUUUACCUCACCUCGGCUCCGGAUGCCUAAAAGGUACAAGCUUAAAGAGAACACAACAACAUAUUAAGAAGAUCAAAGAAACUCGGUCUCUCAAAGACAUGGCUCCAAAGUGUCUAUUUCUCUGGUUUCUUAUGUCUUGAUCUUCCUCUCGAUGUUCUCUGCCGUGAACCUCUAUUAGGGUUGCUUUCUCUGAACGUCUUGUGCCUUCUUUUAUACGCAAAAGAUAUUGCCGACUUGGAUUGAUAAAUGGGCUUGGUUUGGGCUUCGAGAUUAAAUAACUGAGGCCAUAACUAACACAUUUAUCAAUUCUUAAUCAAAUUACUAUAUAAAAAAAAACCUUUUAUGUA